AGUCAUUGAACAUCCUUUUCUCUACCCCCAAGCUCAUGGACAGUCUUGGCCUGACAUCUGUGAGCCAGCUCUGGCCUGGAUCAAGCCAGCACACCUGCCCUCCAUCCAAUUUUGCCAUUGGAAUCUCAGUUCUCUUCAUGCAAUUAAUGGACAUUGAUGUGUCAUACACAGAAGCGUACUCAGUGCCAUUUAAGGAGGCUGAUUUUAAAGAGGUGGCUUACAUAUAUGCACAUUAGGAGAUGAACAUUUCUUCUUCAUAGCAUAGAAGCUGAUGACUUUACUCUUGUUGCACAAAGACUCCUAUUCAUACAUGGAAUGUAUCCUUGGGCUGCAAAGCCAAAAAUCACGUUUCUAUAGCAAAGAUGUGCACUGAAAUAGAGUUACUUCAUAUCAUCUGAAAAAGGAUUCCAAAAUGACUUGAAGAGGCUAGCAAAAUACCCAGAAUCAAUAAGCUAAAUUCUCUGCUUCAAGAGGUGAGUUACGAUGAAUGAGAAAUGGUGAUUGCUUAGGUGGGAACCUAAAAGUCUUUACCAAUGUGUCAUGUGGCUCAACCAGUCAGAAUUAAACAUUCUUAAGACAGAAUUUUAUAAAGCAUAGUACUUCUCUCUUUUUUCCCCCCUCUCCUUAAGCCAGGUAGCAUUCACACAGAUAUAUAUAUGUAUAUAUAUAUUCC
rnacentral:lncRNA from 1 species